AAGUCGUAACAAGGUUUCCGUAGGUGAACCUGCGGAAGGAUCAUUACAAAUCCACCGAGAAGAGCGGGGUGCUGGAGUGAAGCGAAACGAGGACGCGCGCGCGCAUAUGCGCACGGAUCCGUCGAGCCCACACCACGCCGCCACGCUCUCUCACACAAACCACGUUUAAAUGUUCGGAGGAGGAGGAGAGAGGAAGAAAGGGAGAGAGAGAAAGAGGAGAGAGAGGUAGGUGUCACAUCACCCACCCUCUCUUGCUCACUCGCUCGCCCCCCUCCUCGCUCGCCUCUCUCUUUUACAACACACACUAGUAUGAUCUCGUUGCUUCAGUUGUUAUAUACAUACACAAUGUAUCAAACACGAAACAACUUAUAACAAUGGAUCUCUAGGCUCUU
rnacentral:misc_RNA from 1 species